GUUAAUGAUGUUUACUUUAUGUUAAUCCGGUUUACUUUAUGUUUCAAAAGAGGUGUUAAUCCGGUUUACUUUAUGCGAGAUACUCUUGCUUUGGGCCGAUUAAAGAUUCCCACCGAUUACUUUGAUGAAUUCAAGUGUGCAUUUUAUACAAAGGAUCAAGUGGACGAAAUCAAAGAGGAGUGGUGUCAAUUCAUGAUAGAGCUCAAUGUUUGUUCAUAAAUUUGUGUAAUUAAUGUGUACAUUUGUAGUAUAUGUUAUGACUUGUAAAUGUGUACAUAAAUUUGUAUAUAUUUUGAUACAUUUAAGGCAAAAUUGGUUUGAAUUGGUAUA